GGACCGGCAGCGACUUUGGAUGGUCCGACUUCAUCAUCGGAUGCCUCGUUCAGGAAGUUGAGAUCCAAUUCGGGGAACCUCCCCGCCAACUUCUCUUGGCAGAGCUCAAACCCUUUGAUGAAGGCAUCCUGGCCGAAUUGGACCUUUAGAUCCUCCAUGUCGGAGGAGGCUUUGAACUCCUCCACUGCUCGAGCCCUUGCCUCCGAGACCAGAGAUGGAAUCCACGCUUUCAGCUCGAAAGCUUGCUCCUUCCACUCGAAAACCUGCACCCUUAAUGCAGAGACCUCGGCCUCAGCCUUCCCUCUCUCCUCCUCCAAGAUGGUCCU
rnacentral:lncRNA from 1 species